AGACCCGAAACCCGGUGAUCUAGCCAUGGGCAGGUUGAAGGUUGGGUAACACUAACUGGAGGACCGAACCGACUAAUGUUGAAAAAUUAGCGGAUGACCUGUGGCUGGGGGUGAAAGGCCAAUCAAACCGGGAGAUAGCUGGUUCUCCCCGAAAGCUAUUUAGGUAGCGCCUCGUGAAUUCAUCUCCGGGGGUAGAGCACUGUUUCGGCUAGGGGGCCAUCCCGGCUUACCAACCCGAUGCAAACUGCGAAUACCGGAGAAUGUUAUCACGGGAGACACACGGCGGGUGCUAACGUCCGUCGUGAAGAGGGAAACAACCCAGACCGCCAGCUAAGGUCCCAAAGUCAUGGUUAAGUGGGAAACGAUGUGGGAAGGCCCAGACAGCCAGGAUGUUGGCUUAGAAGCAGCCAUCAUUUAAAGAAAGCGUAAUAGCUCACUGGUCGAGUCGGCCUGCGCGGAAGAUGUAACGGGGCUAAACCAUGCACCGAAGCUGCGGCAGCGACGCUUAUGCGUUGUUGGGUAGGGGAGCGUUCUGUAAGCCUGUGAAGGUGGCCUGUGAGGGUUGCUGGAGGUAUCAGAAGUGCGAAUGCUGACAUAAGUAACGAUAAAGCGGGUGAAAAGCCCGCUCGCCGGAAGACCAAGGGUUCCUGUCCAACGUUAAUCGGGGCAGGGUGAGUCGACCCCUAAGGCGAGGCCGAAAGGCGUAGUCGAUGGGAAACGGGUUAAUAUUCCCGUACUUGGUGUUACUGCGAAGGGGGGACGGAGAAGGCUAUGUUGGCCGGGCGACGGUUGUCCCGGUUUAAGCGUGUAGGUGUGUGUUCCAGGUAAAUCCGGUUCACUUUAACACUGAGGCGUGAUGACGAGGCACUACGGUGCUGAAGCAACAAAUGCCCUGCUUCCAGGAAAAGCCUCUAAGCAUCAGGUAACAUCAAAUCGUACCCCAAACCGACACAGGUGGUCAGGUAGAGAAUACCAAGGCGCUUGAGAGAACUCGGGUGAAGGAACUAGGCAAAAUGGUGCCGUAACU
rnacentral:rRNA from 1 species